CGCAUGUGCAGCAGUGUUAUCACGCUUCGCUUCCAGACCAGUAGUGAUUUUUGUGUAGUAUAUAGUCAUCAUGAAGGCUCUUAGGGGAAUGGUGAGCGGAGCCGUGAGCGAAAUAUCAUCUGCGGUUACCGGGAGCAAACACGUCGCCGUUCGGGAAAAUGUCCUUGCCGUGACUCGUGACUACAUUUCUCAGCCGAGAUUGACAUAUAAAACCGUGGCUGGUGUUAAUGGACCGCUUGUGAUUUUGGAUCAAGUGAAGUUUCCCAGGUAUGCUGAGAUUGUUCAUCUGACUCUCCCUGAUGGCACCAAGAGGAGUGGACAAGUGCUGGAGGUCACAGGCUCCAAAGCUGUGGUUCAGGUGUUUGAGGGAACAUCUGGUAUUGAUGCCAAAAAAACCUCGUGUGAAUUUACAGGGGACAUUUUACGUACACCAGUGUCAGAGGAUAUGCUGGGUCGUGUGUUCAACGGAUCAGGAAAGCCGAUUGAUCGAGGGCCUGCAGUGCUGGCGGAGGACUACUUGGACAUCAUGGGUCAGCCGAUUAAUCCUCAGUGCCGUAUUUAUCCUGAGGAGAUGAUCCAGACCGGCAUCUCUGCCAUUGAUGGCAUGAACAGUAUUGCCAGAGGUCAAAAAAUUCCCAUUUUCUCUGCGGCUGGUCUACCCCACAAUGAGAUUGCUGCACAGAUCUGUCGUCAGGCGGGAUUGGUGAAGAAAUCCAAAGAUGUGAUGGAUUACAGUGAGGAUAACUUUGCCAUUGUGUUUGCUGCCAUGGGGGUCAACAUGGAGACUGCAAGAUUUUUUAAGUCCGAUUUUGAAGAGAACGGGUCCAUGGACAACGUGUGCCUAUUUUUAAAUUUGGCCAAUGAUCCCACGAUUGAACGCAUCAUCACCCCUCGGCUUGCACUUACCUCAGCUGAGUUUCUGGCUUAUCAGUGUGAGAAGCACGUGCUGGUCAUAUUGACUGACAUGAGCUCUUAUGCUGAGGCUUUACGAGAGGUCUCUGCUGCUAGAGAAGAGGUUCCUGGUCGACGUGGUUUCCCAGGUUACAUGUACACCGAUCUGGCUACGAUAUAUGAGAGGGCCGGACGCGUGGAGGGACGCAAUGGCUCCAUCACUCAAAUCCCAAUCCUCACUAUGCCCAACGAUGAUAUUACCCAUCCUAUUCCGGAUUUAACUGGCUACAUCACUGAGGGUCAAAUUUAUGUGGACAGACAGCUUCAUAACAGACAGAUCUAUCCUCCUAUCAACGUACUACCUUCUUUGUCUCGAUUGAUGAAAUCAGCCAUUGGCGAGGGAAUGACACGCAAAGACCACUCAGAUGUUUCUAAUCAGCUGUAUGCUUGCUAUGCUAUCGGGAAAGAUGUGCAAGCAAUGAAGGCUGUAGUUGGGGAAGAAGCACUGACAUCAGAUGACUUGUUGUACUUGGAGUUCUUACAGAAAUUUGAGAAGAACUUUAUUUCCCAGGGUGCAUAUGAGAAUCGAACUGUGUUCGAGACAUUGGACAUUGGCUGGCAGCUCUUAAGAAUCUUCCCCAAAGAGAUGCUGAAAAGGAUUCCUCAGAGCACUUUGGCUGAGUUUUAUCCUCGAGACUCCAAGCAUUAGUCUUACUUCUUUCUUUGUUCAUUCACUUUGUCUCUCAAGCACCUGUGAAUCUGUCUUCUACACUUCUAGAUGUUACUCAAUCUCUGCUCAAAUCCAGUACCCUAAGUCUACACUGAUGGAUUUCAAAGUUGUUUUUCAUUGCUGUUCUUGCGAUUUAUUUAUUAUGUAAGUGUUGCUAAAUAGUAAAGCAAAUAUUAUAUGAAUAUCGUUGCUACACUGCAGUGUGGAUGUUGUGUGUGUGUGUGUGUGUGUGUGUGUGUGUGUGUGUGUGUGUGUGUGUAUCUGUGUCAAACAGUGUUCUGACCAAGUGGUAUAUAAUGUAAAGGCCAACUUUUCUUUUAGCCCGCAAAACUUUAGAACAACUGACAAAGCUACUAGUAUGCAUCACAAAACAGCCUGUUUCUUUAUUUCAAAAGUGCCAAGAUUAAUGUUUAAUGGCCUAAUGUAUUCUAUGAAUAUGUCAUCAUUAUAAUGAAUUCUCUAUCUGUCUACCUACCUUACCAACCACCCACCUACCUACCUACCUACCUUAACCACCCACCCACCCCUACCUACCUACCUACCUACCUACCUACCUUCCAGUAUAAAAGGAAGCUGUAUGUUCAUAGAAUGCAUUAAAAAGGAAUAGAUAAGCACAGUGGCCCUAUCAAAUCAAAGAAGCAAAUAAAACACUGAGCAAGAUUUUUUUUUCAUGCUUUGUUGUACUGUUACUUUAUGUUUUGUAUAAAAAUGUGUAAUGUAUAGUUAGGUAAGCAAUGUAUUUAUUCUAAUUCAUUUUGGUGUAUAUAUAUAUAUAUAUAUAUAUAUAUAUAUAUAUAUAUAUACACACAUACUGCAGUACAGUGCGUGAUAUCAAGUGAAUAAAUAAUGAAGUAAUUGUUAUCCUAAUGCAUGAACAAUAUAUUGGAAAUAUGUAUGUGACCAGUUUCUCCAUUAAAUAAAUCUUGAUGUGGUGUGAAUUAAUGAUCAUGAUUAAAGUAAUCAAAUAUAAUAGUGCAGCAAUGCAAA